rnacentral:rRNA from 1 species
AUGAGCGCUGGCGGCGUGCCUAAUACAUGCAAGUCGAGCGAACGGACGAGAAGCUUGCUUCUCUGAUGUUAGCGGCGGACGGGUGAGUAACACGUGGAUAACCUACCUAUAAGACUGGGAUAACUUCGGGAAACCGGAGCUAAUACCGGAUAAUAUUUUGAACCGCAUGGUUCAAAAGUGAAAGACGGUCUUGCUGUCACUUAUAGAUGGAUCCGCGCUGCAUUAGCUAGUUGGUAAGGUAACGGCUUACCAAGGCAACGAUGCAUAGCCGACCUGAGAGGGUGAUCGGCCACACUGGAACUGAGACACGGUCCAGACUCCUACGGGAGGCAGCAGUAGGGAAUCUUCCGCAAUGGGCGAAAGCCUGACGGAGCAACGCCGCGUGAGUGAUGAAGGUCUUCGGAUCGUAAAACUCUGUUAUUAGGGAAGAACAUAUGUGUAAGUAACUGUGCACAUCUUGACGGUACCUAAUCAGAAAGCCACGGCUAACUACGUG